UAGGGAAUUUUCCACAAUGGGGGCAACCCUGAUGGAGCAACGCCGCGUGCAGGAUGAAAGCCUUCGGGUCGUAAACUGCUUUUAUAUGUGAAGAUUAUGACGGUAGCAUAUGAAUAAGGAUCGGCUAACUCCGUGCCAGCAGCCGCGGUCAUACGGAGGAUCCAAGCGUUAUCCGGAAUUACUGGGCGUAAAGAGUUGCGUAGGUGGCAGAGUAAGCAAGGUGUGAAAGCGUACGGCUCAACCGUAUAUACAUACUUUGAACUGCUCAGCUAGAGGACAAGAGAGGUCACUGGAAUUCCUAGUGUAGGAGUGAAAUCCGUAGAUAUUAGGAGGAACACCAAUGGCGUAGGCAGGUGACUGGCUUGUUCCUGACACUAAGGCACGAAAGCGUGGGGAGCGAACGGGAUUAGAUACCCGCGUAGUCC
rnacentral:rRNA from 1 species